CAAUUUUUUUUACUUUUUGUGACUGCAUUUUUGCUGUUUCAAGCAUAAUUUAUCCCACGUGUUAAUUUUUGUCUUUCAGCGUAGUGAGCCAGGGAAACACUUUUUGUUGAAAAUAGCUGUAAUAUCAGUGAGCCACCAGACCAUUAAGACAGAGAUGAAAACACACCUACAAGGUACCCCAGAUAUGUACAUAAUUUUGGCUCAUUUCUUGUGGAAGUCAUGAGAAAGGACCAGAAAUUGUGGGUGGUUGCUGAGGCUCUGGAUGCCAUCUUUAAUGUGUUUGCAGAUGAUCAUCUGGACUUGUUGUCAUGGAGAUCAGAGUAACAAAAAACUCCAGACCAUAUGGUACAUGUACCACAGCUGACAGCUAAGAUUCAUCAACAGAAGAGAAACUUAGGAAACCACCUUCCUAUCAGCAUGACAGCAAGGACAAAUCUGGUGCACUUCAUCUAAUGCAAAUCUUGACCAGUAGAACUAAGACAUGUUUUUAUUCUGAAAGUUACUUACAACUCAGCAGUAAUUUGGAUCAAAGAAAUAAUUAGAGUGUAGCAUGUCAAGUUCCAUAGUUUUCUGGUGUCAAGUCAGUUUUAUAUCAGGCAACACUGAUAUUAAUCAUUAAUAUUUAUUUAUUAUUUUUUCCACAACUUUUAUGAUUGUCCCAUUAGAAGAUUCAUGUGUUAUCACAAGAGACCGAUGUAAAACUUGUUUUUGUUUUUAGCCUUUUCUUUUAAAAUUAAAUAUUAAAA